UCCGUGCAAUUGUAGGGCUAAUACAUGAGCAAAAUCUCAACUUUAUUAGAAGAGACGCAUUUAUUAGAUAAAAAGCCAAUGCAUGCUUUUACAGUAUGAAAAUUGGUGAUUUAUAAUAACUUAGCAAAUCGCAAAGUGAAAACAGGCGAUAAAUCAUUCAAGUUUCUGACCUAUCAGCUUUCGACGGUAUGGUAUUGGCUUACCGUGGCAGUGACGGUUAACGGGGGAUUAGGGUUCGAUUCCGGAGAGGGAGCCUGAGAAACGGCUACCACAUCUAAGGAAGGCAGCAGGCGCGCAAAUUACCCAAUUCUAACAGUUUGAGAGAGGUAGUAACAAGAAAUAACAAUACAAGGCAGUUAAAAUGCUUUGUAAUUGGAAUGAUAGAAAUUUAAACCCUUUUUAAAGUAUCAAUUGGAGGGCAAGUCUGGUGCCAGCAGCCGCGGUAAUUCCAGCUCCAAUAGCGUAUAUUAAAAUUGUUGCAGUUAAAAAGCUCGUAGUUGAAGUUCUGCUAAAAGUAACCGGUCUGCUUUUAAUAAAGGUGGUAUCUUGGUGUGUAUUUAGCAAUGAUGUCCUUUGAAGUGUUUUUUACUUUAUUGUAAUAAAGCAUAUUCAGGACUUUUACUUUGAGAAAA
rnacentral:rRNA from 1 species